rnacentral:rRNA from 1 species
CGCGUGAGUGAAGAAGGUUUUCGGAUCGUAAAACUCUGUUGUUAAAGAAGAACAAGGAUGAGAGUAACUGCUCAUCUCCUGACGGUAUUUAACCAGAAAGCCACGGCUAACUACGUGCCAGCAGCCGCGGUAAUACGUAGGUGGCUAGCGUUGUCCGGAUUUAUUGGGCGUAAAGCGAGCGCAGGCGGUUCUUUAAGUCUGAUGUGAAAGCCCCAGGCUCAACCGGGCAGGGUCAUUGGAAACUGGAGAACUUGAGUGCAGAAGAGGAGAGUGGAAUUCCACGUGUAGCGGUGAAAUGCGUAGAUAUGUGGAGGAACACCAGUGGCGAAGGCGACUCUCUGGUCUGUAACUGACGCUGAGGCUCGGAAGCGUGGGGAGCAAACAGGAUUAGAUACCCUGGUAGUCCACGCCGUAAACGAUGAGUGCUAAGUGUUGGAGGGUUUCCGCCCUUCAGUGCUGCAGCUAACGCAUUAAGCACUCCGCCUGGGGAGUACGGCCGCAAGGCUGAAACUCAAAGGAAUUGACGGGGACCAGCACAAGCGGUGGAGCAUGUGGUUUAAUUCGAAGG